GUCCAAGCCCAUCCGAAGUGAUCUGCCUCUGGUCUAUCUCACGCACCGGGACUCCUAAUGGAAACAUGGGAAUAUAGAGGCUCGAUUGCCGGCGGGCAGUGGACAACGGCUAAUGAUGGUGUUUGCGGCGCAAACAUGCGGUGGGGUGGCUUUGGGAAAAGUAGAACAGAGGCACUGGCUGUGGUUAAGCAGAAGCAGCCAAGCAGGGGCACGACAUGCAGUCGUUUGGAAGACUGAGAGGAAGGGAAUGGAGCAGAAUCUUAUCAGAGAUUUGACUCACUUAAUAGUGGCACUGUAUCAUACUUGAGUCAAAAUGUUGGUGUGAAUUUUGUGGAAGGAGAGCCUGAUGUAAUGCCAUGGCAGCCGAACAAUUGAUGAAAACUAAUGGAUCGUGGCAACACAUGGAUGUGUUAAUCAUCUACUUUUUCCAUGACGCAGUGUAACUGUGGCCAUUUUGAUCACUGGUAGCUGGAUGGUGUCAAAUUUUCGAAGUGAAGUGGCUGUUAGGCUGUGUAAAAAGUUCGAUGGCCUUAAGAGCUUGCAAGCUGUUAGGCUCCUGAAGAUCUGCUCACGUGCCACAUCCACAUCCCAAGCGAGCCUCAUGCGACUACAUCAACAGCAGUACA